GACGAACGCUGGCGGCGUGCCUAACACAUGCAAGUCGAGCGGGAACCUCGGGAGGGGUAACCCUUCCGUGGGGAGAGCGGCGAACGGGUGAGUAACACGUGGGCAACCUGCCCCGGACACCGGGAUAACCCAGGGAAACCUGAGCUAAUACCGGAUACUCCGGCGUGAUCGCAUGGUCGCGCCGGGAAAGCCCCGACGGUCCGGGAUGGGCCCGCGGCCUAUCAGCUUGUUGGUGGGGUAACGGCCCACCAAGGCGACGACGGGUAGCUGGUCUGAGAGGACGGCCAGCCACACUGGGACUGAGACACGGCCAAGACUCCUACGGGAGGCAGCAGUGGGGGAUCUUGCGCUAAUGCGCGAAAGCGUGACGCAGCGACGCCGCGUGGGGGAUGAAGGCCCUCGGGUUGUAAACCCCUUUCGGCAGGGACGAAGCGAAAGUGACGGUACCUGCAGAAGAAGUCCCGGCUAACUACGUGCCAGCAGCCGCCGUAACAC
rnacentral:rRNA from 1 species